UCGCAUCCGCUAAUCGGUUCAGCCGUGUCGCGGGAGGUUUCUCAACCAAGCUAAGGCACUUUUCAGAAGUGCAGAGGUCAGCG
rfam:Lampropedia hyalina DSM 16112 genome assembly, contig: EK00DRAFT_scaffold00009.9